GAUGAACGCUGGCGGCGUGCCUAAUACAUGCAAGUCGAGCGAACGGACGAGAAGCUUGCUUCUCUGAUGUUAGCGGCGGACGGGUGAGCAACACGUGGAUAACCUACCUAUAAGACUGGGAUAACUUCGGGAAACCGGAGCUAAUACCGGAUAAUAUUUUGAACCGCAUGGUUCAAAAGUGAAAGACGGUCUUGCUGUCACUUAUAGAUGGAUCCGCGCUGCAUUAGCUAGUUGGUAAGGUAACGGCUUACCAAGGCAACGAUGCAUAGCCGACCUGAGAGGGUGAUCGGCCACACUGGAACUGAGACACGGUCCAGACUCCUACGGGAGGCAGCAGUAGGGAAUCUUCCGCAAUGGGCGAAAGCCUGACGGAGCAACGCCGCGUGAGUGAUGAAGGUCUUCGGAUCGUAAAACUCUGUUAUUAGGGAAGAACAUAUGUGUAAGUAACUGUGCACAUCUUGACGGUACCUAAUCAGAAAGCCACGGCUAACUACGUGCCAGCAGCCGCGGUAAUACGUAGGUGGCAAGCGUUAUCCGGAAUUAUUGGGCGUAAAGCGCGCGUAGGCGGUUUUUUAAGUCUGAUGUGAAAGCCCACGGCUCAACCGUGGAGGGUCAUUGGAAACUGGAAAACUUGAGUGCAGAAGAGGAAAGUGGAAUUCCAUGUGUAGCGGUGAAAUGCGCAGAGAUAUGGAGGAACACCAGUGGCGAAGGCGACUUUCUGGUCUGUAACUGACGCUGAUGUGCGAAAGCGUGGGGAUCAAACAGGAUUAGAUACCCUGGUAGUCCACGCCGUAAACGAUGAGUGCUAAGUGUUAGGGGGUUUCCGCCCCUUAGUGCUGCAGCUAACGCAUUAAGCACUCCGCCUGGGGAGUACGACCGCAAGGUUGAAACUCGAAGGAAUUGACGGGGACCCGCACAAGCGGUGGAGCAUGUGGUUUAAUUCGAAGCAACGCGAAGAACCUUACCAAAUCUUGACAUCCUUUGACAACUCUAGAGAUAGAGCCUUCCCCUUCGGGGGACAAAGUGACAGGUGGUGCAUGGUUGUCGUCAGCUCGUGUCGUGAGAUGUUGGGUUAAGUCCCGCAACGAGCGCAACCCUUAAGCUUAGUUGCCAUCAUUAAGUUGGGCACUCUAAGUUGACUGCCGGUGACAAACCGGAGGAAGGUGGGGAUGACGUCAAAUCAUCAUGCCCCUUAUGAUUUGGGCUACACACGUGCUACAAUGGACAAUACAAAGGGCAGCGAAACCGCGAGGUCAAGCAAAUCCCAUAAAGUUGUUCUCAGUUCGGAUUGUAGUCUGCAACUCGACUACAUGAAGCUGGAAUCGCUAGUAAUCGUAGAUCAGCAUGCUACGGUGAAUACGUUCCCGGGUCU
rnacentral:rRNA from 1 species